NNCCAGCUGAAGAGUCUUAAAUAGGACGAAACACGCAUCAAACUGGAU
rnacentral:hammerhead_ribozyme from 1 species